GACGAACGCUGGCGGCGUGCUUAACACAUGCAAGUCGAACGAUGAAGCCUAGCUUGCUAGGUGGAUUAGUGGCGAACGGGUGAGUAAUACGUGAGUAACCUACCUUUAACUCUGGGAUAAGCCUGGGAAACUGGGUCUAAUACCGGAUACGACCAAUCUCCGCAUGGGGUGUUGGUGGAAAGCGUUAUGUAGUGGUUAUAGAUGGGCUCACGGCCUAUCAGCUUGUUGGUGAGGUAACGGCUCACCAAGGCGACGACGGGUAGCCGGCCUGAGAGGGUGACCGGCCACACUGGGACUGAGACACGGCCCAGACUCCUACGGGAGGCAGCAGUGGGGAAUAUUGUACAAUGGGCGCAAGCCUGAUGCAGCGACGCCGCGUGAGGGAUGACGGCCUUCGGGUUGUAAACCUCUGUUAGCAGGGAAGAAGAGAGAUUGACGGUACCUGCAGAGAAAGCGCCGGCUAACUACGUGCCAGCAGCCGCGGUAAUACGUAGGGCGCGAGCGUUGUCCGGAAUUAUUGGGCGUAAAGAGCUUGUAGGCGGUUUGUCGCGUCUGCUGUGAAAGGCCGGAGCUUAACUCCGUGUAUUGCAGUGGGUACGGGCAGACUAGAGUGCAGUAGGGGAGACUGGAAUUCCUGGUGUAGCGGUGGAAUGCGCAGAUAUCAGGAGGAACACCGAUGGCGAAGGCAGGUCUCUGGGCUGUAACUGACGCUGAGAAGCGAAAGCAUGGGGAGCGAACAGG
rnacentral:rRNA from 1 species